AAUCAGGUGUCGAGUGCAAGUGCACAAGGGAGCUUGACUGUGAGAGUGGCAGCUCGAGCAGGGACGAAAGUCGGGACUAGUGAUCCGGCGGCUCGUUGUGGAACGGCCGUCGCUCAACGGAUAAAAGGUACCUCGGGGAUAACAGGCUGAUCUUGCCCAAGAGUCCAUAUCGACGGCAUGGUUUGGCACCUCGAUGUCGGCUCGUCGCAUCCUGGGGCUGGAGUAGGUCCCAAGGGUUGGGCUGUUCGCCCAUUAAAGCGGUACGCGAGCUGGGUUCAGAACGUCGUGAGACAGUUCGGUCCCUAUCCUCUGCGCGCGUUGGAAAUUUGAGAAGGUCUGUCCCUAGUACGAGAGGACCGGGACGGACGAACCUCUGGUAUGUCAGUUGUACCGCCAGGUGCAUGGCUGAUUAGCUACGUUCGGGAUGGAUAACCGCUGAAAGCAUCUAAGCGGGAAGCCGGCUUCGAGAUGAGAUUUCCUUGCCCCUUUGAGGGUGUGAGGCCCCCAGCUAGAACACUGGGUUGAUAGGCUGGAUGUGGAAGCGAGGACUGAAGACUCGUGAAGCUGACCAGUACUAAUAGGCCGAUGACUUACACACA
rnacentral:rRNA from 1 species